GACGAACGCUGGCGGCGUGCUUAACACAUGCAAGUCGAACGGAAAGGCCUGCUUUCCCUUGUGGAUUGCGGGUACUCGAGUGGCGAACGGGUGAGUAACACGUGAGUGAUCUGCCCCCAACUUGGGUAUAAGCCUGGGAAACUGGGUCUAAUUCCCGAUAGGACUGCAGGGUGGUGCCUGUGGUGGAAAACGAUUUUCUAGUGGUUGGGGAUGAGCUCGCGGCCUAUCAGCUUGUUGGUGGGGUAAUGGCCUACCGAGGCGGCGACGGGUAGCCGGCCUGGGAGGGUGGACGGCCACAUUGGGACUGAGAUACGGCCCAGACUCCUACGGGAGGCAGCAGUGGGGAAUAUUGCACAAUGGGCGGAAGCCUGAUGCAGCGACGCCGCGUGGGGGAUGACGGCCUUCGGGUUGUAAACUCCUUUCGACCGCGAGGAAGCCACCUGGUUGGAAGGGUGGUGACGGUAGUGGUAGAAGAAGCACCGGCUAACUACGUG
rnacentral:rRNA from 1 species